UGAGGAAUAUUGGUCAAUGGGCGGAAGCCUGAACCAGCCAUGCCGCGUGCAGGAAGGAGGCCCUACGGGUUGUAAACUGCUUUUACCCGGGAAGAAACCGCCCCCUGUGGGGGGCGUUGCGGGUACCGGGGGAAGAAGGAUCGGCUAACUCCGUGCCAGCAGCCGCGGUAAUACGGAGGAUCCGGGCGUUAUCCGGAAUUACUGGGUUUAAAGGGUGCGCAGGCGGGGCUUUAAGCCGGCGGUGAAAUGCAGCGGCUCAACCGCUGGAAUGCCGUUGGGACUGGGGCUCUUGGAUACGGUCGGGGCGGGUGGAACUCGUGGUGUAGCGGUGAAAUGCAUAGAUAUCACGAGGAACGCCGGUAGCGAAGGCAGCUCGCCGGGCCGGUAUUGACGCUGAGGCACGAAAGCGUGGGGAUCGAACAG
rnacentral:rRNA from 1 species